rnacentral:rRNA from 1 species
UACGUAGGGUGCGAGCGUUGUCCGGAAUUAUUGGGCGUAAAGGGCUCGUAGGCGGUUUGUCGCGUCGGGAGUGAAAACCUUGGGCUUAACUCAGGGCUUGCUUUCGAUACGGGCAGACUAGAGGUAUGCAGGGGAGAACGGAAUUCCUGGUGUAGCGGUGAAAUGCGCAGAUAUCAGGAGGAACACCGGUGGCGAAGGCGGGUCUCUGGGCCGAUACUGACGUGAGGAGCGAAAGCGUGGGGAGCAAACAGG